UUGAGUGUGUUGUUGUAAUUUCUGAGGCUGUAUGAGUUGGACGGAAUGGCGCCAUCCCGCCAAGUGCGAAAUCGGCGGUGUAGUUUGAAGGGUUGUGGAAAAACAAAGGCUGAUUGUCAUUUGUCCCGAUCUCAACUUCUUCCAUGUUCCGAAAAACCGUGUCAAGAGACUUGGUUGGGUGGCUGUCCUAGAAGAUGGCUUGGCGGACAAGCAGGUUGACGAAGCACUUGUGUGUAGCUGCCACUUCAACCCUCAAGAUCUUCUGCUUGGAGAAAGGGCUAGAACGUCACCACAUGCCGUACCGUCAAUAGCAGUCGUGGAAGGUCGUCGUGUAGCGCGGCGCUCCGCCAGCUGCUGUGCUGGGGUUGGCGGCGCUCAGCAGCUACCAGCUGAUGCAGCGCGCCGUGCUCGCUCGCCGCGGCGCAGUGUUUAUAGCGCGUGCGCCGGGCGCUGACGGCAGUCGUCUGGCAGCGACAGCUCUGCCGGUGACGGCACACGCUGCUGCUGCAGAAACUGGACAAGGGCCUGCUUGGGCUCCUGGUCCUGGAUCGGUACGCCGGCUCAGUCACCUGAUGACAGCGGCGCACAGCGUGACCUACCCGCCCUACAGCCGGCCCAGCAGGGUGAGUAGUGAACUGAGUACUGAGUAGCGCUCAGAGUUAGCUUGAAGUUGUUUAACAUGAUGCACUGUUCUUCAUGAGUCGUCCCCAUCGCUGCUUGUGACUUGCAAGUUCCUUCUUUUUCGGCAGUGCGUCCCAGCAGCGAUUUUCACCUCUGAGAAGUAUAGUUGCCGUACUAGUGAAAAAGUGUAUAUCUUUGAAAUAAACAUUCCGUUUCAUCUGCCCACUACCACUAACGCCCCUCUGCCCUCUCCUGCAGCGGACGGGGAGACCCACCUGACCGCUCCUUCCCCCUGUUCUGCUGCAGGCGGGGAGGCCCGCCCUGACCUUCUUUUC